AUACUGGAUUUCUAGCUCUCAUGGCUUUAUGUUGCUCAUAUGUUCAUAUGCUCAAUGUGGAAAUUUUGAGCUAUGGAUUUUAAACUGUAUAUGAGUUCAGGGAUGUUUAAACUGCAUUUCACUAUAUGAAUUUUAUUAGAAAGUAAAGUCAAUAGGAACAUCUGGCUCGUUGGGUAUCGAAAACCGGUUAGCAUCUGGAAAUUUCAAAUAUUUCUGAUAAAAUUGAGCAAUAA